AAGUCCCAUGCAAAGGUGCAAACCCCGAAGCAGCGAAUACCUACAUAAAUAUAAAUACACACAUACAUAAAAUACAAAUAUAUAAAAGCCGCUUCCCCCUAUUAGUAUGCACCAUGAACACAACCACCUGAAUGCUUCACGGAUGUGUUAGCAAAAUAAUUUCAAACUCACAAGCAUAAUGAAUGCUUCACGGAUGUAUUUGCAUAAUAAUUUCAAACUCACAAGCAUAAUGAAUGCUUCACGGAUGUAUUUGCAUAAUAAUUUCAAACUCACAAGCAUAAUGUGGUUGCAUUCAGUGAACACAAUAAGAGGAACCGUCUAUUAAAACUACUUAAGAUCUGUGGCAGGGGCAGUCCCGCACCAGUGUCCAGGUGCAUGGCAUGUCCACGUCAAAUGUUGCCGUAACCAAGUUAGCGUAAGUGGCUUUAAGAGAUCUUUUGAAGAUGGAGAGGAUGGCAAAGGUGGUAGAGGGAAGAAUUUUGCAGACGUGGUUCCAUAACUUGACAAGCCGGUUGAAAUAUGAGGAUUGAAAUGUUUUGGAUUUACAGAAAGGAAUUUUGAGUGUGAGAGAAGGAUUUCGAC